AUUGAACGCUGGCGGCAUGCCUUACACAUGCAAGUCGAACGGCAGCGGACCUUCGGGUGCCGGCGAGUGGCGAACGGGUGAGUAAUAUAUCGGAACGUACCUUUCAGUGGGGGAUAACGUAGCGAAAGUUACGCUAAUACCGCAUAUUCUGUGAGCAGGAAAGCAGGGGAUCGCAAGACCUUGCGCUGAUUGAGCGGCCGAUAUCAGAUUAGCUAGUUGGUGAGGUAAAGGCUCACCAAGGCGACGAUCUGUAGCGGGUCUGAGAGGAUGAUCCGCCACACUGGAACUGAGACACGGUCCAGACUCCUACGGGAGGCAGCAGUGGGGAAUUUUUGGACAAGUGGGCG
rnacentral:rRNA from 1 species